AUAAGAAGCUUGUAGAUCCCGUGAAUGGAACGGAGUAUGUUCCUACUUAUGAGGAUAAGGAUGGCGAUUGGAUGCUCGUCGGCGAUGUGCCUUGGAAGAUGUUUGUGGCCUCGUGCAAGCGCCUUAGGCUGAUGAAAAGUUCAGAGGCCGUCAAUAUAGCUCCGAGGCAUGGUGGUUUGAACCCCAGGUGAGAAAAGGAAGAAAUUGUUAUCAGAGAGGAUUGUUUAUAGAGAUCAGCACUUG
rnacentral:misc_RNA from 1 species